rnacentral:rRNA from 1 species
UGAACGCUGGCGGCAUGCCUUACACAUGCAAGUCGAACGGCAGCACGGGAGUAAUCCUGGUGCGAGUGGCGGAACGGGUGAGUAAUAUAUCGGAACGUGCCCAGUCGUGGGGGAUAACGCAGCGAAAGCUGUGCUAAUACCGCAUACGAUCUAUGGAUGAAAGCGGGGGACUCGUAAGGGCCUUGCGCGAUUGGAGCGGCCGAUAUCAGAUUAGCUAGUUGGUGGGGUAAAGGCUCACCAAGGCGACGAUCUGUAGCUGGUCUGAGAGGACGACCAGCCACACUGGGACUGAGACACGGCCCAGACUCCUACGGGAGGCAGCAGUGGGGAAUUUUGGACAAUGGGCGCAAGCCUGAUCCAGCCAUGCCGCGUGCGGGAAG